ACUCAAAGGAAUUGACGGGGGCCCGCACAAGCAGUGGAGCAUGUGGUUCAAUUCGAUGCAACGCGAAGAACCUUACCUGGGUUUGAAAAGCUAGUGACAAGGGAUGAAAGUCCCUCUGGUAGCAAUACCCACUAGUACAGGUGCUGCAUGGCUGUCGUCAGCUCGUGCCGUGAGGUGUUAGGUUAAGUCCUGCAACGAGCGCAACCCCUGCACUUAGUUGCCAGCAGGUAAAGCUGGGCACUCUAAGUGGACUGCCUACGCAAGUAGCGAGGAAGGUGGGGAUGACGUCAAGUCCUCAUGGCCCUUACACCCAGGGCCACACACGUGCUACAAUGGUCGGUACAAAGGGCUGCUAAACCGCAAGGUGGAGCCAAUCCCAAAAAACCGAUCUCAGUUCGGAUUGGGGUCUGCAACUCGACCCCAUGAAGCUGGAAUUGCUAGUAAUCGCGUAUCAGCACGACGCGGUGAAUACGUUCCCGGGCCUUGUACACACCGCCCGU
rnacentral:rRNA from 1 species